rnacentral:rRNA from 1 species
AGAGUUUGAUCAUGGCUCAGGAUGAACGCUAGCUACAGGCUUAACACAUGCAAGUCGAGGGGAAACGACAUCGAAAGCUUGCUUUUGAUGGGCGUCGACCGGCGCACGGGUGAGUAACGCGUAUCCAACCUGCCCACCACUUGGGGAUAACCUUGCGAAAGUAAGACUAAUACCCAAUGACGUCUCUAGAAGACAUCUGAAAGAGAUUAAAGAUUUAUCGGUGAUGGAUGGGGAUGCGUCUGAUUAGCCUGUUGGCGGGGUAACGGCCACAAGGCGACGAUCAGUAGGGGUUCUGAGAGGAAGGUCCCCCANAUUGGAACUGAGACACGGUCCAAACUCCGUACGGAGGCA